ensembl:lncRNA
GGGAAAAGGCUCCGGGUGUUUCUUGUAGAGGCCGAGAAUUCCCGGCAGGAUUUUUGGGAGUUGCUCUUCCAGCUUUUCCUCGGGAAUUAAGGAGCUCAUGGGGCCCAGGGCUUCCACCACGGCCAAACGCACCUGGAAAAAUCCGGGAAAAGAGCGGGAAAAUCCCGGAAUUCCGACGGGAAUCGGAAUUGGGGAUGGGGAGGAGGAGGAAUUCCGGGAAUUCCCGAAUCCAGGGGGGUUUUAGGGUUAAAAUUCCCAAUCCUGAGGGAUUGAAUUCCCAAAAUUCCCAAUCCUGUUCCAAAUGUCCCAAAUUCCUGAAUCCCAGCAUUCCCAAAUCCCGGAAUUCCUGAAUCCCAACAUUCCCGAAUCCCGGAAUUCCUGAAUCCCAGCAUUCCCGAAUCCUGCAAUUCCCAAAUCCCGGAAUUCCCAUUCCCACCAUUCCCGAAUCCCAAAAUUCCUGCUCCCACCAUUCCCAAAUCCCAGAAUUCCUGAAUCCCACCAUUCCCAAAUCCCAAAAUUCCCAUUCCCACCAUUCCCAAAUCCUGGAAUUCCCCUUCCCACUAUUCCCAAAUCCCGGAAUUCCCAUUCCCGGAAUUCCCAAAUCCCAGAAUCCCCGGAAUUCCUGCAAUUCCCGAAUCCCGGGCUUCCCAUUCCCAGCAUUCCCAGAAUUCCCAGAAUCCCCGGAAUUCCCGGAAUCCCCAAAUCCCAGAAUUCCCAUUCCCAGCAUUCCCAAAUCCCAAAAUUCUCAUUCCCACCAUUCCCAAAUCCAGGAAUUCCCAUUCCCAGAAUUCCCAGAAUUCCUGGAAUUCCCAGAAUUCCCGGGAUUCCCAUUCCCAGAAUUCCCAGAAUCCCCGGAAUUCCUGGAAUUCCCAAAUCCCAGAAUUCUCAUUCCCACCAUUCCCAAAUCCUGGAAUUCCCAUUCCCAGAAUUCCCAGAAUUCCCAGAAUCCCCAAAUCCCAGAAUUCCCAAAUCCCAGAAUUCCUGAAUCCCACCAUUCCCAAAUCCCAGGAUUCCCAUUCCCAGAAUUCCCGGAAUUCCCGGAAUUCCCAUUCCCAGAAUUCCCAGAAUUCCCAGAAUUCCUGGAAUCCCCAAAUCCCGGAAUUCCCAUUCCCAGAAUCCCCAGAAUCCCCGGAAUUCCCGAAUCCCAGGAUUCCCAUUCCCAGAAUUCCCAGAAUUCCUGGAAUCCCCAAAUCCCGGGAUUCCCAUUCCCAGCAUUCCCGGAAUUCCCGGAAUUCCCGCAAUUCCCGGAUCCCGGGGUUCCCAUUCCCAGAAUUCCCAGAAUCCCCAGAAUUCCCAGAAUCCCCAAAUUCCGGGAUUCCCAUUCCCAGAAUUCCCGGAAUUCCCGGAAUCCCCAAAUCCCGGGAUUCCCAUUCCCAGAAUUCCCGGAAUUCCCGGAAUUCCCAGAAUUCCCAAAUCCCAACAUUCCCAUUCCCAGAAUUCCCAGAAUUCCCAGAAUUCCCAUUCCCGGAAUUCCCAGAAUUCCCAGAAUUCCUGAAUCCCGGAAUUCCCAUUCCUGGAAUUCCCGAAUCCCAAAAUUCUCACUCCCACCAUUCCCAAAUCCCAGGAAUUCCCAUUCCCAGAAUUCCCAAAUCCCAGAAUUCCCAUUCCCAGAAUUCCCACUCCCAGAAUUCCCUCUCCCACCAUUCCCAAAUCCCGGAAUUCCCAUUCCUGGAAUUCCCAAAUCCCGGGAUUCCCAUUCCCAGAAUCCCCGGAAUUCCCGGAAUUCCCGAAUCCUGGGAUUCCCAUUCCCGGAAUUCCCAGAAUCCCCAGAAUCCCCAGAAUCCCCGGAAUUCCCGAAUUCUGGGAUUCCCAUUCCCAGAAUUCCCGGAAUUCCCGCAAUUCCCGGAUCCUGGGAUUCCCAUUCCCGGAAUUCCCGGAAUUCCCGCAAUUCCCGAAUCCCGGGGUUCCCACCUUGGCCUCUCUCAGGGGGAGCCAGGACUGGAACAGGAGCUCGAAGGCGGCUCCCAAUUCCUGGGCAAAGGCGUCCCUGCGGAUCGUGGGGUCCGGAGCCUGAUCCCGAGCCGCCAAAUANNNNNNNNNNNNNNNNNNNNNNNNNNNNNNNNNNNNNNNNNNNNNNNNNNNNNNNNNNNNNNNNNNNNNNNNN